rnacentral:rRNA from 1 species
GAUGAACGCUAGCGGCAGGCUUAACACAUGCAAGUCGAGGGGUAGGUUACUUCGGUAAUUGAGACCGGCGCACGGGUGCGUAACGCGUAUACAAUCUACCUUUUACAGAGGGAUAGCCCAGAGAAAUUUGGAUUAAUACCUCAUAGUAUUUUUGAAUCGCAUGAUUUGAUUAUUAAAGUUCCAACGGUAAAAGAUGAGUAUGCGUCCCAUUAGCUAGAUGGUAAGGUAACGGCUUACCAUGGCUACGAUGGGUAGGGGUCCUGAGAGGGAGAUCCCCCCACACUGGUACUGAGACACGGACCAGACUCCUACGGGAGGCAGCAGUGAGGAAUAUUGGACAAUGGGCGCAAGCCUGAUCCAGCCAUGCCGCGUGCAGGAAGAAGGUCCUAUGGAUUGUAAACUGCUUUUUAANACAAGAAGAAACA